GGAUGCGAUCAUACCAGCACUAAAGCACCGGAUCCCAUCUGAACUCCGAAGUUAAGCUUGCUUGGGCGAGAGUAGUACUAGGAUGGGUGACCUACUCUGGGAAGUCCUCGUGUUGCAUUCC
rnacentral:rRNA from 1 species